rnacentral:tRNA from 1 species
GGAGGGAUGGCCGAGUGGACGAAGGCGGCGGUCUUGAAAACCGCUGUGGCGAUGUGCCACCGAGGGUUCGAAUCCCUCUCCCUCCG